rnacentral:rRNA from 1 species
UACAGAGGGUGCGAGCGUUGUUCGGAAUUAUUGGGCGUAAAGGGCGCGUAGGCGGUGCCACAAGUCACUUGUGAAAUCUCCGGGCUUAACUCGGAGCCUGCAGGCGAAACUGUGGUGCUGGAGUGUGGGAGAGGUGCGUGGAAUUCCCGGUGUAGCGGUGAAAUGCGUAGAUAUCGGAAGGAACACCUGUGGCGAAAGCGGCUCACUGGACCACAACUGACGCUGAUGCACGAAAGCUAGGGGAGCAAACAGG